rnacentral:rRNA from 1 species
UGGGGAAUAUUGCACAAUGGGGGAAACCCUGAUGCAGCGACGCCGCGUGAACGAAGAAGGUAUUCGUAUUGUAAAGUUCUGUCCUAUGGGAAGAUAAUGACAGUACCAUAGAAGAAAGCUCCGGCUAAAUACGUGCCAGCAGCCGCGGUAAUACGUAUGGAGCGAGCGUUGUCCGGAAUUAUUGGGCGUAAAGGGUACGCAGGCGGUUUAAUAAGUCGAAUGUUAAAGAUCGGGGCUCAACCCCGCAAAGCAUUGGAAACUGAUAAACUUGAGUAGUGGAGAGGAAAGUGGAAUUCCUAGUGUAGUGGUGAAAUACGUAGAUAUUAGGAGGAAUACCAGUAGCGAAGGCGACUUUCUGGACACAAACUGACGCUGAGGUACGAAAGCGUGGGGAGCAAACAGG